UGGUUCCAGAUGAUGUGUGUGGUUGACCAGCUAGUUUGUAACUCUGGUGUUUGUAACUCUGAGGUUUUACUGUACCUUCCUUGAAAGUGUAACUCCAUU